UUUUUUUCAAUUCGGAUCGGCUCGGUUUUGUGGUUCUCCGGUUCUUAUGCCCAUUCUGAGCAUAAUUGCUUCCUGGUUUUGACUGCUUCUGCGAGACUAAAAUUGUCAUCAUCAUCAGUGCAGCCAUUGCAGGCUGGCUGCAAGAGAGGGUUAUUAGAAUUAAAGUGAAUACCUCGCAGACGCAGACAAACUGCAGAUUUUCAAUCAAGAAGUAGAAUUAGAACUUGACAUGGAAAACAAGGUUUUAAUUCAGUACAACCACACGGAUCCCUGCUCAUUUGCGCGUUGGACUACCAAGGAAUGCUUCCAGUUCAUGUCUGCCAGGCCAUGGCAACAAGUUAUGGAUUUUUAUUCGGAUGUGGUGAAGGACCGCAAGCCCUUAUCAGCGUUGUUGGGCAAAGCUUGUUUGAGUAAGAGUAACAUUUACAAUAGGCUAGAGAGUCUACCGCCAUCUCAAGAUAAGGGUGGGAGGUGGGCACGACUAACAUUCAAGAUUGUUGUUUCGUAUCAUGGUGGUUCCUUUGAUGGCUGGCAAAGGCAGCCAGGCCUCAACACUGUUCAAAGUGUGGUGGAAAAAUCUCUGGGAAAAUUUGUUGAUGAGAGGAAAGCGCAGAUGCUGAAAGACAAAGGUUUGCCAUUAGAAGGCGCUGCUCUUGUUGCCGGACGCACUGACAAAGGAGUGACUGCCGUUCAUCAAGUUUGUUCUUUUUAUACUUGGAGAAAGGAUGUCAAAUCUCAAGAUAUUACAGAUGCCAUCAAUAGUGCAGCACCAGGAAAACUCAGGGUCGUAUCAGUUACUGAGGUAUCACGUGCCUUCCAUCCAAAUUUUACUGCCAAAUGGAGGCAUUAUUUAUAUAUAUUUCCAUUUAAUGAUGAGGAGGACAUGGAGCAAAGUAAUCAGAGUGGAGAGAAUGUUCAAAAUUUUAAGAGUCAAGAGAAUUAUCAUGAGCAUAAAAAUGGAUGUGAUCAAUGCAAUGAAGCAAAUGUUGGGAACUUAGUUAUCAACGAUAACGAAGACCUUGAAACUCUGAAACCUCGGGAAUUCACCGGGUCCGCCAACAGAGUGUUUUCUCUACCAUGCUCGAGCAAAAGAAUCCAAACUACCAUGUUCAGUAUGAGUUUGCUGCUAUUACUAGUCUUGCAAAUCUUGUCUCUUCUGUUUAUAUUUUCCUUCUGUGAUUUAGGUUUUUUAAGUUCACAUCUAUUGUGUAGGAUGGGACUCAAUUAUUUAGUUUCUGCACCCAUAUACACAUGAGACUGACACGAGUAAUCAUGUUCACUGAUGGGAAUAACGCAUGCCAUAAUUUUGGACCUCAAUUGCCUCCCUCUCCCAAUAAUAUCGAUGGGAAUUUGGAUGGACAAAGCGUACAUGAAUAAACUGAAUCAGAAAAACCGAAAAAAAAUCAUAUGAGGGCCUAGCCUCAGGAAGUAAAUUCUUGGAAAAUUUUCAGUAUCAUCUCGCAGUUUCUAGUCCUCAAACUUUCCACUAUGUGAGGACAGGCUUUGAAAGCGUUCUAACCACUUCUUGCCCUAAAUAAUAAAUAUCUUAUACCUUAAAGGCAUGAGUACUUGUGUCCAUAAAUGUGUGCUUAUAAUUUAUAGUUAGAUUGCAGGAUUUAUCUGAAUAUAAUGUUUAGAACAUAUUGGAUUAAGCACAACGUACGUGGUUACUUUCCCUUUUCGUUUGAAUUGGCUGAAUUAUACAUUAAAAUGAUGUGAAAUUGUUCCAAACUAUUGUUUAGGUGAGCACAAAAUGCUCUUGGCCGUGCCUUGCCUGCAAUGGAUUUGAUAUUUUAUUUGCAGAAAUUUCAUAACUCUAAUUAUAUGAGCUUCAGGCUCAAAUAUUAAAUCUUUUGUUGUCAAUGUAGUGAUCCAGCAAAAUGUGUACCUACCCACGAGUGUAUAUGAAUUACUAAUGGCACUGUGGUUAUGUGUAGGAGCAUGAGAAAGGAAGAAGGGUUAUGUGUAUUGAACUUGUUGCUAAUCGAUUCUUACGCAGGAUGGUUCGGGUUCUUGUGGCAACCUCAAUAAGGGAAGCGGCUGCAGGUGCAGAUGAGGAUGCAUUGCUAAAGCUGAUGGAUGCUACAUGCAGACGUGCCACUGCUCCCCCAGCACCCCCUGAUGGUUUAUGUCUUGUUGAUGUGGGUUAUGAAGAAUUUGAUCCACAAGAUUGCCUCAUCUUGAAAGAGUGAAUGUACAGUGACAUUCAUGCAGAGGUAGCUUCCGAUCUUUAAAGUGAAUAUGACAAAGCAAACACAUUAAACAAUGAUAAACCCUUGUUUUGAUAUUAGGUGGAAAUGCAAGUCAUCCGAUGGAUCUCAACCUAUCCAAAGCACUUAUUUUUUCACAUGUAACUCCUUGCCGCUGAAAUUUUUACAGAAAUGUCAAAUUUUGUUGUGAGGGCUAUUCCAGUUUAAUUCUUGUGAUACUGUCUGAACUGAAAUCAAGUCAGUUGUGUUUAGUAAGAGAAGAAAUGAAGUUGCUUAUUGUUCUAACACCCA